CAAAGUAGGGUAAUGUUUUGUGUAUCUAUCUAGAAUAAAAAAAUUAAAACGGUAACACACGUUACAUUCUCCCCUCAUCUUUUCCCUCUGUUAUCUCUCUUUCGCUUCAACGCGUGCCGUCCUCUCUGUUUGUCUUUUGAAACCCUAAAUCCAACCUUCCCCUUCUUUUUUUCAUUGAUAGCCAACUCACUCCUCCUGCUCUGGAUAAUCUCUGGCCAUUCACGCUCUGUUUAUCGCUCUCCCUGUCUCCCAAAUUCUCAUUUCCGUUUUUGUCAACCUCUAUCUGGAAACCCUAACCCAUCGAGCUAAGCGGAGAGAUGCUGAGAGACUGAGAUCUCUGUUGCGGGCUUCACAUGCUCACGAAGAGCAUUAUCCCUGCGGCUUGCUUCAAGGCAACUGAGGAAUCGCAUCCCACUUCCUCGGCAACGGCGGUUGCAGUUACAAAGGUCCAAUCAUCAUCUUUUCAAGCGUCUUCAUUGUCGAUUGGGUUCAUGGAAAAGGAUCAUGGAACAAAUUUUUUUGGUCUGAUUUGUCAGAUUCAUUUAAAGAUCGGUGGUAGUUCUCAAGAGGAAAUCAGCCUAGGGUUCAUGUCACUCUGCCUCUCUCUUAUCUUGGGAAACAACAAGUUAGGUGGGAAUUUUUACGGCGGCCCUGUCCUUACUCUGUCCCCUUCCAUCAUGUGGUGUAGAUGAAACAAAUGAACUAUGCUUAGUGUCAACUGAUUCAGAAAAGCUCUUCUCUAAUCUCACCCCUGGAAGGAAUGUUGGAAGAUAACACUCAAAAUCAUCAGAAUGUGGAUUUUAAUUGAUCAUAGGGAGGAGAAUGAAUAACAUGCUUUUCUUCGGCUUCUGAUAAUGGAUAAAGAAAUUUAAUCAUGCUGGAUCAGAUGCUUUUUGAACUUGGCUUUAACUAAAAGUUUUAUAUGAUGUUGACUAGAAACAUAAAUUGAGUUUACUACUACACAUGUGUGGAGUGUAAGUGUUGAUAUUUCCUUAUCUUAUUUGUUAUCAGUUUUAGUGUGUUCUUUGGGGCUUUUAUUUGUAUGUGAAAAUUCUAAAAUAUCUUCAAUUUCCUAACUGAUUUAAGGUGCUAGAAAUGACAUGCUUUAAAGUUUCUCAAAUAAAUUUGUACUCAUAAGAAGGUCUCAAAUUUCUGUAUAAUUUGUUCUUACUUUUGGUUAAUGAUUUGGACCCUUUUUUCCGGGUGUGAAAAUUCUGAAAUUGUGUUUGACUGUGUGUUCUCGGUUUUCUUUUGUUGUUUGUAGAUUUUAUUCCGAGCCGAAAAUGCUGGAAUAAUUACAAUAACACCAAGUGUAGUAUUUGCGUGAUGGAUGACGAUUUGCUUUUGAUGGUCUGCUCUGGUGUUUGCAGUGGCGGCAGUGGCUCUACUAGCUCAUAUUAUCAACGUCAGAAAUUGGAAAGGCCAGUUGAACAUACCUGAUCCAGCAGCUUUUGGGUUCAGAGAAGUUGGUUUUUGGCGAAGUUAAGUAAGAUGGUUUUUUUAAUUUUAGAAAAUAAAAAUAUUUUAUUUUUAUAUUAUCAAAGUGGCAAAGUAUUUCCCUUUAGAGUUAUGUUAUCUUUGAUGUUUACAGUAUCUUGGCUUAAACCUGCUGUUUUUUGGCAUAUAUAGUCUUGAAUUUAAUAAGUUUUUAUUUGCAAUGAAACUUGUCACACGGGCAGGAAGAGUGGUAGAAGGAGAGCCUACGAAAAGGACUCAUCUUUAUGAACACCGAUUCUAUCAUGCUAUUUCGCUUUCACUCCCUUGGUGGCUCUCUUUUUAGAUAUGAGGCACGCUUUUCUCCCAACCACACACCUGCGGAAGGAAGCACCGUAGCAAUGGCCUUUGGAAAAGGGUCAAAAAAGGCGGCUAUUACACACGAUCCAAAGUUACACAGGAAGGACAACCCUGUAGAUUUGGAAAAUGAUAAAAAAAUUGGUCAAAAAAAGCGGCAAACGUACACAGAGGGAGGACAGUUGCUGUUUUGUUAGAAAAACAAUUACUAUUUAAUAAAUUAAUGUUAAUUAAUCUACUGCAAUCUUUUUAAUUAAUUUCCUAUGGCAUCUGACCACAUAGUAGCCGUCAGUUUUUGCCUCCCAAAUCUUGAUCUCACCUGUCAAAUAAUAUAUGGAGGAAAUAUAUUGGAAUCA